GUCCCUUGGCCUGAGCGCGGUGAAUGCUCUGGGCCCUCUGAAAAGGUUUUUCAUGGACCAGGCUUCGACCACUGGCGCGAAGCUUUUCUAAUGAUGUACACUAUGAUAUGUUUAACCAGUCUCAUGUACGCUGUC
rnacentral:sRNA from 23 species